AAAAGGUGCCAUCUACAGGCUAACUGUCAACACUACAGCCUCUUAGCUCUCCAGCUUCCCAAAAAGAGCUGGUUUCUUCUCCUGAAACAGUAAUAUGCUAAUCCCAUGAGCUUGCCUUGUUGACUAAGAACCCUCACAACCGGGAUAUCAGAGCAUGGAGGAAACUUCCACUGCAUAGAUGCCUUACUGAAUUUAUCUGGCUUCAACUUCCAGCCAUUGGAUUAUGUUAAAUCUUUCUCUGUGAGACUGAGGAGCUCAUUAACAAAUAUUUGUUUCCCAAACAUGAUUCUGGGAUGCAUUAACAGCUCAUUGUCUUCCUUGUUCUUAAUCCUGCAAUGAAGGAAGUAGACUGUGUUUGUGAUGUUGCUGCAGUUUACAAGGCUGUCCUCGGAAGAGGAUUAAAAGAACUUUACACCGUAUCUUCAAACAGCAUGGGAAGAAUUCAACAUGCAUCUGUGGCUGCUUCUCCUCACAUCAGGGACACAAAUCAACAGAAAACUACCCACAUCUGACUAACAGAAUGUCUCCAUAAUGGUGAUUUUUUAAUACUUUUUUUUAAAAUGGUAAACAGGA